GAGUGCGGUGUACUGGCUGUCUCCAGUGAUGUAAGACAUAUAGAAUGGUACAGUAACUAAGCUGUGAGAAAUAAGGAUCCCCAACACCACUCACGGCUGGCGGCAGGCACCUCUAGGUAGAUACGUAGUCCGGGACCACUAGGUUCUCAGGUUCUUCAAGGUUCUGCAUUUAGUUAUGGAUUUUCCCAGAGGGGGGACAGAGAAUUAGAAGAGAGAAUCAAGAGAAUCACGAGAGCCAUCACUCAUAACAGGAUAACCUCCUCUCCAUUGGGACACAACAACUGCUGACACUGUAUGUACUAGUUUGAGUAACAGGUAUCCGAGAGGGGCUGAAUAGCUGUUUUAGAAAAUAUCUAUGGUGAGUAGAUAUUCAUUUUUACUAUAUUGUUAAAUGUUAUUUUCUUGCACUUGAAGAUUACAAUC
rnacentral:lncRNA from 1 species